rnacentral:rRNA from 1 species
CCGCUGCCGGCGACGUCGCGAGAAGUCCACUGAACCUUAUCAUUUAGAGGGAAGGAAAGUCGUAACAAGGUUUCCGUAGGUGAAACUGCGGAAGGAUCAUUGUCGAUGCCCCACGAAAAGAGCGACCCGCGGACCGGUUCACAGAGACCCCGGGCCGGGAAGGGGCGCCGGCUCGCCCGGAGCCCCCCCCGGCAACCAAUCCCCGGCGCCCCAGGCGCCAAGGAGCAUUAACAGAGCGAAGGGGCACCGCCGCCGGCGGCCCGGGAACGGUGCCGACCGCCCGGCGCGUGCCCCGCGGAACUCUUAGCAUCCGAACGACUCUCGGCAACGGAUAUCUCGGCUCUCGCAUCGAUGAAGAACGUAGCGAAAUGCGAUACUUGGUGUGAAUUGCAGAAUCCCGUGAACCAUCGAGUCUUUGAACGCAAGUUGCGCCCGAAGCCGUUAGGUCGAGGGCACGUCUGCCUGGGUGUCACGCAGCGUCGCCUCCGCCCCACCGAGGGCGUCCCGGCGGACGAUGGCCUCCCGCGAGCUCCGUCUCCCGGCUGGCCGAAAAAGGGGCCCGACGCGACGGCGGCGCCACGAUCCACGGUGGCUGAGUGAGCCUUCACGCGCUCGAGACCGGACGUGCGCGCGUCGCCCCGCGAGGAGGUGCCCGGCCGCAGGGCCUCCCACCCGUACGCGACCCCAGGUCAGGCGGGGCUACCCGCUGAGUUUAAGCAUAUCAAUAAGCGGAGGAA